rnacentral:tRNA from 1 species
GCUCGGAUGGCGAAAUUGGUAGACGCGCUACACUAAGGAUCUAGUGAGGAACCUGUGGAAGUUCGAGUCCUCUUUCGAACA